rnacentral:rRNA from 1 species
CAGCAGCCGCGGUAAUACCGGCGGCCCGAGUGGCGGUCACUAUUAUUGGGCUUAAAGCGUCCGUAGCCGGGUUGGGAAGUCCUCCGGGAAAUCUGGCCGCUUAACGGUCAGAAUGCCGGAGGAUACUCCCAGCCUAGGGAGCGGGGGAGGCCGAGGGGAUUCCCGGAGUAGGGGGGAAAUCCUAUAAUCCCGGGAGGACCACCGGUGGCGAAGGCGCUCGGCUGGAACGCGUCCGACGGUGAGGGACGAAGGCCAGGGGAGCAAACCGGAUUAGAUACCCGGGUAGUCCUGGCUGUAAACGAUGCGGACUUUGUGUCGGACAAGCUAUGAGCUUGUCCGGUGCCGGAGGGAAACCGUUAAGUCCGCCGCCUGGGGAGUACGGCCGCAAGGCUGAAACUUAAAGGAAUUGGCGGG